UACGUAGGGGGCAAGCGUUGUCCGGAUUUAUUGGGCGUAAAGAGCGUGUAGGCGGCUUUGCAAGUCCGUUGUGAAAACUCGAGGCUCAACCUCGAGACGCCGGUGGAAACUGCAAAGCUAGAGUCCGGAAGAGGAGAGUGGAAUUCCCGGUGUAGCGGUGAAAUGCGUAGAUAUCAGGAGGAACACCGGUGGUGUAGACGGCUUACUGGACCACGACUGACACUGAGGCACGAAAGCGUGGGUAGCAAACAGG
rnacentral:rRNA from 1 species